rnacentral:rRNA from 1 species
AGAGUUUGAUCCUGGCUCAGGACAAACGCUGGCGGCGUGCGUAACACAUGCAAGUCGGACGAGAGGGAGAGGCUCCUUCGGGAGUGUUUCUUGUCGAGUGGCGGACGGGUGCGUAACACGUGGAUAACCUGCCCUGGUGUGGGGGAUACCCUGUAGAAAUACGGGCUAAUACCGCAUAUGGUGGUCUUUAGGGAGCUAGA